rfam:Treponema denticola ATCC 35405, complete genome.
ACCGGCACGGAUGCCGGUGGUUUAAACUUACGAGUUUUUUGCGAAGCAAAAAUACUCGAAGCUGAAAAAUGUACAAGGACGUACAUUUUUCAGCGGUU